AUUGAACGCUGGCGGCAGGCCUAACACAUGCAAGUCGAACGAGUGGCGGACGGGUGAGUAAUGUCUGGGACACUGCCCGCUGGGGGGGGAUAUCUACUGGAAACGGUAGCUAAUACCGCAUACCAUCGGAUGUGCCCAGAUGGGAUUAGCUAGUAGGUGGGGUAAUGGCUCACCUAGGCGACGAUCCCUAGCUGGUCUGAGAGGAUGACCAGCCACACGGGAACUGAGACACGGUCCAGACUCCUACGGGAGGCAGCAGUGGGGAAUAUUGCACAAUGGGCGCAAGCCUGAUGCAGCCAUGCCGCGUGUAUGAAGAAGGCCUUCGGGUUGUAAAGGACUUUCAGCGAGGAGGCGUUACUCGCAGAAGAAGCACCGGCUAACUCCGUGCCAGCCGCCGCGGUAAUUC
rnacentral:rRNA from 1 species